rnacentral:rRNA from 1 species
GACGAACGCUGGCGGCGUGCCUAAUACAUGCAAGUCGAACGCAGUGGGGACGGGUGAGUAAAACGUGGGUAACCUCCCAUCAGAGGGGAUAAAACUUGGCAACAGGUGCUAAACCGAUACUGAUUGAUGGACCCGCGGUGCAUUAGGCAGGUGGUGAGGUAACGGCUCACCAAGGCCACGAUGCAUAGCCGACCUGAGAGGGUGAGCGGCCACACUGGGACUGAGAUACGGCCCAUACUCCUACGGGAGGCAGCAGUAGGGAAUCUUCGGCAAUGGACGAAAGUCUGACCGAGCAACGCCGCGUGAGUGAAGAAGGUUUUCUGAUCGUAAAACUCUGUUGUUAGAGAAGCGGUAUCUAACCAGAAAGCCACGGCUAACUACGGGCCAGCCGCCGCGGUAAUAC